rnacentral:rRNA from 1 species
AGCGAACGCUGGCGGCAGGCCUAACACAUGCAAGUCGAACGAAGUCUUCGGACUUAGUGGCGGACGGUUGAGUAACACGUGGGAACGUGCCUUUAGGUUCGGAAUAACUCAGGGAAACUUGUGCUAAUACCGAAUGUGCCCUUCGGGGGAAAGAUUUAUCGCCUUUAGAGCGGCCCGCGUCUGAUUAGCUAGUUGGUGAGGUAAGGGCUCACCAAGGCUACGAUCAGUAGCUGGUCUGAGAGGAUGACCAGCCACAUUGGGACUGAGACACGGCCCAAACUCCUACGGGAGGCAGCAGUGGGGAAUCUUGCGCAAUGGGCGAAAGCCUGACGCAGCCAUGCCGCGUGGAUGAUGAAGGUCUUAGGAUUGUAAAAUCCUUUCACCGGUGAAGAUAAUGACUGUAGCCGGAGAAGAAGCCCCGGCUAACUUCGUGCCAGCCGCCGCGGUAAGAC